GCGCCCGUAGCUCAGUUGGAUAGAGUGUCGGCCUCCGAAGCCGAAGGUCGGCAGGUUCAAUUCCUGCCGGGCGCG
rnacentral:tRNA from 1 species